rnacentral:piRNA from 1 species
CUAAUGGCUUAGAGAAAAAAGGACAGCUU